rnacentral:tRNA from 1 species
GGCUCCGUGGUGUACAAUCAUAUUGAAUUGCAAAUUCAAAGAAGCAGCUUCAAUUCUGCCGGGGCUU